rnacentral:rRNA from 1 species
UAGUCCGCACAGUCAACGAUGCACACUAGGUGUCUGGCCAUGAGGCCGGGUGCCGGAGCAAACGCGAUAAGUGUGCCGCCUGGGGAGUAUGCCCGCAAGGGUGAAACUCAAAGGAAUUGACGGGGGCCCGCACAAGCGGUGGAGCAUGUGGUUUAAUUCGAUGGUACGCGAGGAGCCUUACCUGGGUUUGACAUACAUAGGAAUGGUCUAGAGAUAGGCCAGCGCAGCAAUGCGCCUGUGAAC